rnacentral:lncRNA from 1 species
UUUUAAUCCCAGUCGUUGAUCACAACUGAUCCAACGGCUAAGAUGAUCUCAAACUCUCUUUUCUAUGUAAACCAAAAACAAAAACCCUAACCCUAAUUUCAUUCUACCAAAGGUAGCCUCCUCUGUCACCUCUCUCCUCUCUCUCUCUGCCCUCUCUCAUCAGCCUCCCUCACCCCCGCUCUUUCCGACCUCCGACCUCCGACCUCCGACCUCCGACCUCCGACCUCUGACCUCCAACACCACUAUGAAAACCAACACCACCAUGACACCCUCAACCGCCACGACCACCAGCCGUCGUAGCCUCUCCUUCUCCGGCGAAAACCCUCGUCAACAAUAACCCCAGGACCAGCCCCGUCGCGCCUCCGGUGCCCAACGACGACAACAACACCGGCGAACAGCGCCGGCAAUGACCGGCCUUCCCCUUCUCAGAUCCGGCCUCCUCCUCCACGCCAGCGUCGCCGGCGACCAACCAAACGACCCAUUGCGGUGAUCAGUGCCGCGGGUCCCCUCCACUCCUCCGUCGCUGCCACUUUCUCCCACAAGAGAAACCAGCAGCUACCACAGUCGAUGCCCGCGCCAGCUCCCUACGUUCUCCAUCUCGUCACCGCACCACCAGCCGCUGCUCCAUCCACCGGUGAAAUCCAACAAUAAUACCUCGCCGCCGCUGCUCCAGUCAAAUCCACGAAAUAUUCAUGACGGAUUCUUAAGAAUCCGUCGAAGGUUUGAUUUAUUAUUUUCAUAUCCAAUAUCAUCAUCCUUCUUUUCUUUCUUUAAGAUGUGAUCAGCGAUCUAAAUUUGACGAAAUUGGUUGAGGGUUUUGAUCUGGUUUCUUAUAAUGUGGGUUUGUUAACAUGGUUAGAUUUUAGUGAUGUUUAAUUACGUCCCUAAUUUUGAACUGUUGGUUGAUUGAUAUUCAUAUUCAGCUUGUAGAAUUAUUGUUUUUACUUGAAAGUGGCAUUGUCUUUAACGUUGACAAAAUUCGACGAACAAUUUUAAAUUUUCAUUUUCUUUUAGCUGUGACAUCGACGUUGGGUGUUUAUGAUGAAAUGUUUGAUUUAUUUUUUUUAACUUUGGCUGAACAUUAUGGUACAUGAUUUCGGAUGUAAUCUUUAUAAUUUGAAUUGGAUUUGAUGCAUAAUUAACAUUGCGAUUAAGGAAUAUUCCUAUGUGAUUAACAGUCUCUUAUAUUAUUAUUAUUUUUGUUUUCUUAUUGUAUGGUAAUUGACAUAAUAUCUGACAUAUUCCAUAUGUCUGUAUAUGGUAAAUAUAAUCCCUUGUAUAUUUUGAUUGAUUCCUUCAAAUAUUGGCUUUCCGUUUAUUCUUUAGCUGAUUUUACAUGAUUGAUGGAAUUAUUUAUUUAAGGAAAUAAUCUUCCUAAUUGACAGGUCAAAAAUAUUUUCUUCCUUUUUAUUUCUUGAAACUCUUUGCUAUAUAAACAACUCUCUUUCUCUUAUUCUAGGGACAGAAGAUACACACAACUUACAUCUCUUAUCACCCUCUACACUCUCUAUAUCCUCUAUAUACUCUUGUUCAACUGCUACAAUUUCUGGGUAUUUUUCUCUUUAUAUAAUAAAUAAUAACAAGAAUAAGAGGGCCACUUUUCAAGCUUUUACAUUUCGGAUUUCGAAGGCGCAUUUGGUUUCAUCAUUACUCAAUUGCUCUGUGGUCUCAUUGUUACUACUUUACGCCUAACUGGUUAGUUUCUAAUCGAGGCACUUCUUUUCUUUAUGUGUGACAUAGACAGCAUACCUAUAGGAGAUGAUUCGUAAUGACCAUUUGAUGAUUGCUUACGAUCAUAUAUUAGUAUCCAUCUCUCUUGUGUGUUCUUUGGUAUUUUUAUUGUAUUUACAGGCUUCAUCAAAGUAGUGGAGAGUCGCCCGGGAAUUCGGAAAAGGGAUGUCUUAUUAGUUUAGUCCUUUUUGUUUUAUUAUUCAUUUGGUUUGUAAUUUAUUGUAUGAACACUGAUGUAAUAAUAAAUCCGGGGGGACUGCUUGGAGCGGGAUUUAUGUGAUUAUGUGAUUUAUUUGAAUCACUUAGACAAAUUGUGAAUUAUGAUUAAAAACAAACUCAUUUUAUCACCCAGGCAAAAUAUAUUAGGACCCCAACAAUAUUGUUCUCUCACCUAGAAAUCAUGUUUUAGAGUUAACUAAUAAAUUUCAACAUGGUAAAAUUACUUGUGGUCGUAAUGACAUAACCAUCGAAACAUGAAAUUGAUUCAGGCAUUUUAUUUGCUUUUUCGUGUAUUUUUGGAUUUUCAAACGUUCAAAAAAUAAUAUUUUUAGCAUAUUCACUAAAUUUCAGCAUUAUCAAAAUAAUCUUUCAGCAUAUUUAAACAGUUUUCAGCAUCUAAAAUAAUGACUUUGACAUAGUAAGGUGAGUUUUUCAGCACUUUAAAUAAUAUUUUCAGACAUUAAAAUUAAUUUCCAGCAAUAUAAAUUUUCCUUUUAACACUAAUUUCAGCAUAUAUCCUGCAUUUAAUAAAUGAUUUGCAAACACUUUGAUCAAGUUUUCAGCCUUUUAAAGGAGUAAUUUUCAGCAUAUUGAAUCACUACUUAGCGUACAAGAUUAUUUUCGUAACACUUUAAAUGCAAUUAACUAUCCUUGCAUAAUAAACAGUUAUUACUUCCUCGCAUGCUUAUUUGACUUGACACAUCAUUUAACAAAUUUAAAACUUACUUUCGAAGCAUUUAUUAACUCCCUUUCGGCAUAUUAAUGCAGUGUCACUUAGACAUCAUGCUUGACUCUCUUUUAUGUAAUAAAUUAAAUUAAUGUUCUUAUUCUCAUGUUUUUAACUUUGACACUUUGUUUAACAACUUGACAAUACAUUGUUACACACACGACUCACAAGUUGUCUUUUGUCACACUAGCCUUUGUUGAACAUUUAGAUAUCAUGCCUAUAGAGUAACAACAUAAUAAAUAAUUUCUUGUCUUUCCUUGCUAUCACAUUACCAAACAUUGAUUAACUAAGAGGUGAAUUUGAGAUUAUUAUGUGCUACUUGUAGUCCAAUAUGUUCGCGCUUCAAGUCCUAGGCAACAUAGCUUUCUUUUAGUCUAGAACACAAAUCCAAAAUAGCAAAGUCCAAUGCCUCUUGGGCGAUAGUUGGGACGUUAAAUAUUACUAAAAACGUUAGUUUUAUCUUUGUCAUAGAACACCCUUAGACUUGACAUCCAGUCUAGGUGGGGUGGGACGGGUAGCCUCUUUUCGGAAAUGAUGAUCCUAACAAAUAUUAACGGCAAGGCUAAUGACAUUAUUACUUGUCUAAGAGUUCGGCCCUUGGGUCAGAUGAUGAUUAACAAGUUGAGUUUCUGAUUCGAAUAAAAACAAAACAUCUCUUUGUUUGACUCGGACGACUUCUUUUAGUCCUUUUAUUUAUUUUACACGUUUAUUGGGGGUAGCUAGUUUAUUAUAAAUCAGUCCCCUUUUUAUUAUAAAUCAUGUCGUUUCUUUCUCCUCGCUUAUCUUAUUCCUAUGUUUUUUUAUUUAUUUUAUCACCUAGAUAAUCAACAAUUAGCAUUAACAAAUGACAUGUGUUUGCUUAUUAAUUAUCUUAUCGCUUAGCUAAACAAUAAAUUAAUAAUAAAAGAAGAGAUCUUUAUUUGAUCACAUAGAAUCCCCAUGUACAGUAUGAAUUCGACUGGGAGCCACCUUUGUGGACCUCGAAAGGUGCCUAACACCUUUCUUUUGAGGUAAUUUGAACCCUUACCCGAACUCUAGUGAACUAAAAUUAAAACGACAAAAUAGGUUCGUAGUAUCCUAGACCGGUGCCCUAACGCACCUUAAUACGUUAGGUGGCGACUCUCAUACCCUUCCUUUUAAAUGCAUCCCAAGAGUUUGUCAAGUCGAAUCUUGCCUUCUCCACAAGGAAAACGAGGCGCGACAAGAUACAAAACGGAACUCAGAUAGUUCCACCAGAUUCAGGACUGUCAGAUAUAAUCACUCAUGUUAUCAAUUAUAUCAGUUAUCAGUAUGUCAUGUUAUCAGUUAUCAGUAUAUCAUGUUAUCAGUAUUCAGAUCAUGUUCUCAUGAUUUCAAAUAUAGUUACUAUGUAUGCAUGCAUGUAUUCUCACGUUCAUAUUAGUCAGUUAGCCAGUAUUGUUCAUGUAUAUGAACCCCAUGCAUUCAACCUACCCCACAUGCAUACCAGUACAUUCAAAGUACUGAAGUAUUUGUGUUAUGGUGUCUUAUACCAUAGGUUUAUAGACACGAGCUCCAAAUCAGUAGUAGAUUCCAGUUUCAGCAGUCAGAGUUAGAAGUGAGUCUUCAUCAUUCGAGGACAUGAUUAUUUCUCUAUUAUCUCAUUAAUUAGUUUGUUAGUUGAAGUUAGAUGGGGACAUAUUCCAUUAAUUCCUUACUCAGACAAUUCAGUCAGUUAGAGGCUUUCUAGACUAUCAUGUUUCAGACCAGUAUUUUUAGUUUUGUUUUUUGGGUAUUUCAUACCUCGUUUAGAUGUUAUAUUUUCUUCAGUUAUGUGAACCUUAUGGCCUUUUAGUUCAUGUUUUCACAUUAUUCAGUAUUUUAUGCAGUAUACAGGUACAUAUAUCAGUCAUGGGUUAGCUUGUGGUCCUUCGGGGUCAUGAGCACCAUGUAGCAUUUCGAGACCAGAUUCAGGGUGUUACAAGAGGGUUAUGAACACCCGAUACCUAUGCGUUUUACAUGAUUUCAGAUAUUCUAUUAAUAAUUCAGUUAGACCAUGAAUAUCACUAUUUACUCAGUUGAUAUAAUUAUAAUAAGCACUAUCAGAAAUAAUGUUUAGUUAAACUUAGUUUAGUUCAGUACUAGUGUCAGUUCAAUUGGGAGUAGGCUUUAGCGCCGAGAAAACCUAGGGAUGGGGGCUCACCUGCCAGUUAGGACUGAGCCCUUAAUAGCAAUCCCUAAGUUUCAGAACUACAUAGCCAGCAUAGGAUUAUGAGAUGUCACCCUCCAAUUUAAGACUGACACUCUCUUAGGGGUCACUUGCCAAUUUAAGACUUACUUCUAUUCCUUUGGGACAUCAUAUUAGUGGUCCACACAGCCAGUGUUAGUACCCGUGGCAUGGUACUGACACCCUUCCAACUAGGGUUAGAGGUUGGAUCCCGAUUAGCUCAGAUUUGGGCAUGUCAGUUAUAUCAUACCUCCCACAGUUUCAGUCAAUAUUUCAGUAUAUCUCUGUCAGGUUUUGUUGAUCAAGUGUACAGGUUUUAAUAAUUCAGUUAUAUAGAUUUUAGAUUUAUUUUAGAAACAUAUUUAUGCUUGGUCUUGUAUUCUCAAAUUAUUACAUGUUCAUGCAUUCAUGCUCAGUUACCUCAUGAUUUUCAGCCAGUCCUCAUCUCAUAUACCAGUACAUUUAAAGUACUGACCGCAUACUUUUUUUUGUGCUAUGUCUUAUAACAUAGGUUUGUACGCUCAGUUUCUUAACCGUUCUUAGUCAGCUCAGUGUUACGUAGCAGUAGUAGUGGUGAGUCCUUAUCCAUCGAGGACAUAAUAUAUUUAUUUCAACAUUUUCUUAUGUUCAGUCUAUUAGAGUUAGUUAGGGGUUUGUCCCAUCAACUCCUCAUGAUGUUUAGAGGCUUUCAAAAUAAUCAGUUAGAUAUUCUGUUAGUUAUUUCAGUGUUAUCAGAUAUUUCAGACAUAUUUUUAUUCAUAUUUCAAUAUCUAGUUUUAUAGUAUCUUAUUAUCUUACCUUCUGUAUAUAUGAUGUAUUAGUAUUUUGUCCAGUGCUCACAGCAGGUACCCAUUCAUGGGUUAACUUGUAGUCACUUGUGAUAGUAAGCACCAUUGUCGCGACAAGGGGGUAGCCUCGGGUCGUGACAAAAGUACCAUUUUUUCUUUAAUAUAAUAAUGCUAAAAUCUAUCAUAUUUGAUGCUAUAAGUGCUUAAUGGUUAUAGAAUAAGAUCCAACCAACUGGGUCACAUUAUAAAAACCACUAUGUAUAUCCUUGAUCCUAAUAUUAGUGGAUUUUGCUUGUUUUAGCAUCUUAGCUAUUAUGUUUUUAGUCUAGAACUAUUAGACUCGCCUUUAUCUCUACUAUUAAUUGAGGUAUAGAGAUCACUACAAUUAUUUUCGUACCCAUCCUUAUUCCUCCAGUUGUCUUAUAUUUACAUCUAUUUCUAUCUCUAUGCCUAGGUAGAUCAUAGUUGUGGUCCUUGUAAUAGUUCUAAACUUGAUUUCCUUGACCUUGGCACCAAGAGUAUUAGUUAGACCCUUGGGUAUUGGCUUAGAAAUUCCCCAUCUAGCUGUUCAAAUAAUUUUCCCUCUCAUCAGAUUUAGAAUUAUAAUCACUAUGUCUUGGUGCUUUACUAUGCAAACCCCUUGCAUUCAUGUAUUUAGAGUUGAACCUCAUUAAGUGGUUUGGAAGUAGGUCUAUUUGAGUUUUUAUAUGUGUCAUAUCCUAAUCACACUCUUCUUCUCUUUGGAGCUACUCAGCCAAUAUGCCCAUAGAAGAAGUACUAAUUAAUACCUCAGACUUCCUCGUGUGCAAUACUCUAUUUGUAUUUGUAAAUCCAUCCAACAUCACAAUAACAUCUACAUAAGUAUUUGUCAUGAAAAAAUCUCCAACAAUAUCAUCAGCUACUAACUUAGUUGUAAAUUCAGUGACAUGCAAAAUAUCUCUAAUCGAUUAUCACAGCUAGCUUGUGGUUGUGGCAUUGCUUCAAAUUCUUAUUAAACCUCAACCAAGUAUCAUAAAACCUUCUCCAAGUAGCUUUCUGAAGUUAUUGAUCUCAUCUCUCAAAUGCAUUAUUUUAGAAGGUGGGAAAAUAUCUAUAGAAAAUCCACCUUCAGGCCUCUCUAGUUAGUAAUGGAGUCAUCUAGAAGUUCAAUCAACCAUAGGAUUGUUUCAUAAGAUAGUGAGUGAAGAAACAACCGCAACCAGAUAGAAUUUUGACUCAUCCCUAGAAGCUUGUAUGACUUUCAAAUUCUCAUAAAAUGAAUCAAGUUAAGGUUUGGAUCAUCUCCAACAACACCUUCAAAUAGACUCUUUAGAUUUAUUAGCAAUAUUGUACUUCUGCUGUCAAAUUUAGCACCAUGGGCUAGUAGAGAAGGAACUAUAGCACAAUAGCACCAACUUUGUCUAAAUCAGCAUCAUCCUUAUCUUUUAGAUCAUCAUGCGGAACAAUCGGUCUCUUAUUAUGGCCCCUGUGCCUUUGUUUCAUAUGAGCGUUAAUGACAUCUUCUUUGUUUCAUAUGAGCGUUAAUGACAUCUUCAGUAGUUUCUAUAUUUUCAUGGUUAACAUAAGUUUCAUCCUCCACAUCCAAAUGGUCACUUCAGCCUAUUGGGUUGUUACUUUCUCCUAAAGUUCUUAAGCAUUCAUCUUUCUUAGAGUAUGUUAACUAGUAUUUAAUGGGAAUCUAGGGAUUACUUUGACUUCAAAUGUUUGGCAUAAACUAACAUGCACCCUAAAUAAAACAAAAACAACAUACAAAAGUAAAAUAAGUACUAGCAGCCAAUUUUACAUUCCCUAAAACUACGUGCCACCAUAGGUUUUAAUGCCCAUAGUUGGUUCAGUAUAGUGAUCACUCUAGUUUAAGUUCUAUUCCGAUGGCAAGGGUAGAACAGAUCUCCCAACGUUGGUAAGAGACGUUGGACUCCAUGAUAGCUCACAUGGUUUAUGUCGGUUAGAAGAAUCUCCCAAAAGAAAGAGUAAAAGUGCAACUUUUAGAACUAAGUGUUAUGGCUCACAAGAUUUAUACAGUAUGCUUUAUUAUUCAUGAUUUAUAAUUUUCAGCUUUCAGUUAUUCAAGCUCAAGAUGAGUCAUUUACACUUGGAAUGCAUCAUUUAAAAAUGCAUAUGAAUAUUGAGUUACUGUUUUACUUAUACAUUCACCCCCGCAUACUCAAUACAUUCCAGAAGUGUUGAUCCACAUCUAUGUCUAUGUGCUACAUUGUUUUAUAGUGUAGGACCUGGUGCUAAAUUCCAGUAGAGUGAUUGAUUUCGAGCAUCUCCACCUAUAUCCCAGCUUUUGGUGAGACCUCAUAGUUCGCUGGCCCAUUCUGCCAGAUUCAUUAUUGAUGAAGUACUCUAGUUAUUUGAUUUCAGUUUGAGUUGGGUCAAUUGGGGUUUGUCCCAGUGGCUCUCUAUUUGAAUCUAAAUGUUUUCUAUUUUGGAUUCAAAGUGUUGGUUUUAAGAUUUAGAAGUUUAAGACUUUCAGUUAAGACAUUAAAUUCAGUUAUUUUGAGAUUUCAUAUAUCAAGUUUAUCUUUAUUAUGAGUUUCAAAAUUGUUAGAAGGAUUAAAGGGUUAGCUCGGGGCUACUAGUAGUCUUGAGCACCGUGUGAUGUUUAGGGUGUACUUUUGGGGCAUUACACCAUCAAAGAGCUACCUUUCCCCUUCAUUCGAUAUCAUAAUGUUGCUAUACUAUCAAAUAAACAACUAGUCUUUAAGAUGAGAAAAAUGAUACCCAUAUCAAUAAAUUAUAUUUUGG